CAGUAGCCACGGGAAUACGUAGGUGGCAAGCGUUGUCCGGAAUUAUUGGGCGUAAAGGGCUCGCAGGCGGUUUCUUAAGUCUGAUGUGAAAGCCCCCGGCUCAACCGGGGAGGGUCAUUGGAAACUGGGAAACUUGAGUGCAGAAGAGGAGAGUGGAAUUCCACGUGUAGCGGUGAAAUGCGUAGAGAUAUGGAGGAACACCAGUGGCGAAGGCGACUCUCUGGUCUGUAACUGACGCUGAGGAGCGAAAGCGUGGGGAGCGAACAGGAUUAGAUACCCGCGUAGUCCCUGUCUCUUAUAA
rnacentral:rRNA from 1 species